UAAAAUGAAAAAUAAAGCGAAGUCUAAAUGAAGGAAUUUUGACUCAGAAAGUAGUUCCAUCUCUUCGUUGCGGAAGAUAGUCAGCCUUAUCAUGAAUAUUCGCGUGGAAUAGUUCACCAGCGAAAUAUUUCGUUCACCCGAAAUCGUUCACCUUACCAUGAACGCAGAAAGAUUUCGGGUGAACAGCAUUUCACAUCGAAAUUUCGAAUGUGAGAUGACAGCUGUCAAAACGUCAAAUAAAAUAUUAACAAAGAAACCAAAUUGAACGCAUUUUACUUUAGUGAAAAAUUUAAAAUGAUUAAUAUAAAUUUAAGGAGACUGCUGUUAGCAGAUGAAAAUGUGCAAGAUCAAAGAGUCGCUCGUAGAAAGAUUAGGGAUGCUUCAAAUCCGCUUGAAUUGCAGGAUCAAUUGUUUCAGAAAUGUUAUAGGACCAACAAAACAGCGUUUAAAUAUCUACUAGACAUUACAACAAACAAAGCUUCAAACCCGAUGAAAUCUUUUGGAAUACCCCCAAUAGUGAAGUUGGCGGCUUCGCUGCGUUUCUUUGCAGAAGGAGGCUACCAAAAGGGUGUCGGUAGGGAAUACGAUGUGGGAUUGUCACAGUCUGCCUUUAGUGCCACACUAGAAGAGAUGCUUGACGUGUUCGAAGUGAAUUUAUGCUACAAUAGUUUCCUCCGAUGUUGACAGUUUAUGAUGCAGGUUUGGUCCCCCACCAGUGCCUCUAAUUUGUUCCGCAUUAAACGUCAACUUUUUGCGUACGUAACGCUUUUGGUCAUUCCAAACCUUUAACAGAUUUUUGUAAUAAUUAUUUUAAAAUUUUACUAGCCAGUGCUAAUAUGAAAAUUACCCUUUUCCACUCAGACACCAUUUUAGUCGGAGGCCCAGCACUGUUCAAAUCCGCGGCCGUUUCCUUCCAUAACGCUUCUUGUCUGUCUUUUCCUUGUUUAGAGAAGCCAGCCGCUAAAUCAGGAUUUUCUGCCAUUUUACUGAGCAAAAUUUCAGAUUGCGUUUUAUUAAUCGAUUUUGACCUUAAAAUAAUUGUUUUUAAAUUAUAUAAAAAUAGGAAUUUUUAUCUAAUUUUUAUUGAUACUUACAUGAUUCAAAUAUAUUUCGCGCACAAAAUUUUAACGAAAAAUUUCACCAAUAAUUUGACAAUUAUUUCGCCGUUGAUGCCGUUCACGAUAGGGUGGAAAUAAUUCGAAGCGAACUGUUUCGCAUGGUGAAUAUUCAAAAUAGCAUAGGUGAACGGCAUAGGCGAAAUGUGAAUCAUUCCACACGAAAUGAAAAUUCACGAUAAGGCUGAAUA